rnacentral:rRNA from 1 species
UACGAAGGGGGCUAGCGUUGUUCGGAAUUACUGGGCGUAAAGCGCACGUAGGCGGAUAUUUAAGUCAGGGGUGAAAUCCCAGAGCUCAACUCUGGAACUGCCUUUGAUACUGGGUAUCUUGAGUAUGGAAGAGGUAAGUGGAAUUGCGAGUGUAGAGGUGAAAUUCGUAGAUAUUCGCAGGAACACCAGUGGCGAAGGCGGCUCACUGGCUCGGUACUGACGCUGAGGUGGCGAAA